rnacentral:rRNA from 1 species
AGUUGCAAGAACUUUGAAGAGAGAGUUCAAGAGUACGUGAAACUGUUCAGAGGCAAACGGUUGGGCCCUCGAAGUCCAGUCGCCGGGGGAUUCAGUCGGGAAGGCUGGGGGUGCCCGAGGAUAGGCGGACGCCCGCAGCGGCGCGCCGUUGGCACCGUCCCACGUCGGCCCGACGCACUUCCUCCGGCGCAGCGGACGCCGCAGCCGGUUCGGUAGCAGACAAGUUCGGCCAUGAGGGAGAGAGCUGGUGGGUGGCUCGGGCGCGGCCUCCGCGCCGUCGUUCGAGACUCUGGCCGUCUCUCCCGGGCGCGACACCGGACCGAGGAAGAGGUCCGACUCCGGUCGGACCGGCCGUGCCUUCGCCUUAAUAGUGCGAGCGGAUCGCGAUGGGUCUGGAGCCCUCCAGUACGGGGCCGUUACACCGAGGCGGUGGCGGCAUCCUACCGGCUCUCCGCAGGACCCCGCGGACCGCGGCGGACAGGCAUCAGGGCUUGCGGCGAGUAGGUCGGUCACCCACCCGGCCCGUCUUGAAACACGGACCAAGGAGUAUAACAUGUGCGCGAGUCGUCGGGUCUUGAUCAGGCCCGUGGGCGCAAUGAAAGUGAAGGCGACGUCCCGUCGCCGAUGUUGGGAUCCGGUGGGAGCUCGCUCCCCCGGCGCACCAACGGCCCGUCCCGACCCGCUUCGUCGGGUGGGGCGGAGCCGGAGCGCACACGUUGUGACCCGAAAGAUGGUGAACUAUGCCCGGGCAGGACGAAGCCAGAGGAAACUCUGAUGGAGGUCCGCAGCGGUUCUGACGUGCAAAUCGAUCGUCGGACCUGGGUAUAGGGGCGAAAGACUAAUCGAACCAUCUAGUAGCUGGUCCU